UACGUAGGCAGCGAGCGUUGUUCGGAGUUACUGGGCGUAAAGAGUGCGUAGGCGGUGCUCUAAGUUUGGUGUGAAAUCUCCCGGCUUAACUGGGAGGGUGCGCCGAAAACUGGAGUGCUCGAGUGUGGGAGAGGUAAGCGGAAUUCCUGGUGUAGCGGUGAAAUGCGUAGAUAUCAGGAGGAACACCUGCGGUGUAGACGGCUUACUGGACCAUGACUGACGCUGAGGCACGAAAGCGUGGGUAGCAAACAGG
rnacentral:rRNA from 1 species